rnacentral:lncRNA from 10 species
AGCCACUUAGUCCCUCAAGAUGCAAGGUUUGCUAAGUGUUUUGAGGUUGCAAACUGACUUCUGGGUUUUGAGAACUAUUUGACUUUCUGGCUUCACAACUGAGUCAAGGAAACUUAUUUUGAACUAUUUACAGCCUUUAAUAAGCCAUCAAACUACAGUCAGUCAUGCAACAGGAGCCUCUGAUGACGACCCUUUCUGCUGGGAACCCUUAAAUAGGCCUCUGAGGGAGCUCUGACUGCGGCUUCCCCCAAAACAGCGCCCCCUGUCAGCAGGAGGCAAUAAUGGAGCUAUUUUUUUCUUUCGUUGUCCAAGUGGAAGAUGUUAAAAAAGAAACCCUCAAUGAUCAGAUUUAUUUGGAGAAGACAAAAAACCCACAACCCAAAGGAUGGGAUUUUACAUCUCAAGACAUCUCCUAGUACAGCAAAACUGCAUUUCCCAAGCUCCUCUUCUCUCAAUGGGUCACAUGACUUGUUCUAGCCAAUAGAACGAGGGUGGAAGUAAUGUGACCACUUUCAGGUGUCCCCUAAAGUCUCCUGUGAGAUCUUCCAAUCUUGCUCUCCUCACUCUGCAUGGCUGGAAAUGAAUACUCUGAUAUCUGAAACAACAUGAUGAAGGAGCCAGGAUGCCUAAGUUCACCACUUAGAGAAGAGACAGCUUGAAGAGUCAUUCUGGAGAACUGGCUGACCAAACUCAUUGGAUUGUAACAGAAUAUAAACCUUUUAUUCUGAUAUGCCAGAGGCACAUUAUGGAUUGUAUUACAAUGACUAGCAUUAGCUGUCCUGAUUAAUAGACACUGUGACAAGAUUCUUUAUUGCUAAAAGAAAAAAAAAGCAAUGGCUGAUACCUGAUUAACAGACACUGUGACAAGAUUUUUUAUUGCUAAAAGAAAAAAAAAAAGCAAUGGCUGAUACCAUUUAAAAUAAAACUUACAAUUAAGGCAAUUCAGUUUGAAAUGUGUUUAUGAAGUUAUUUCAUAGCACUAAUUACAGUUCUAACAAUAUGUAUUUCUGUAGGUGUAUUUUCAAUUCUCUACUAAGUAGUAAGCUCUGUGAGACUGGAAGUUGUACAUGUUUUGUUCUUCACUGCAGAGGUCAUACUCCUCAGAGUACAGGACCCAUGGUGGGAAAUAUUAGCUUCAUGAAUGAGUGAAUGAAUGACUACACACAAGGUUUGAUAAUUAGCAUCCAGAAUAACAAAGAUAUAUACAAUGAAUUAAUGAUUCAUAGUGAGGCUUAGUCAAGUAUACAAAAAGAACAAGAUGAAAUGCAACAUAAUUGUGAUAUUGUGAAGUGUAUACUUGGUCUUCACCCCUGUUUACUGUCAUACACACAAUUCCUAAGAUGCUUGGAAUCUCCAAAGUGUUGUCUUUUUGUAUGCUAAUGUUCACUGAUAGCUUCAGGAUGGAGGUGGUCACCAGAAGGACAAAGGCAUGAUUAUAGGGUUGGAACUUCUGGGCCCACCUCCCCAACUUCCAGGGAGAAGAGCGGGGCUGAAAGACAGACUGAUCAGCAAUGGCCUGUGGUUUGAUCAUAAUGAAGCCUCCAUAAAAACCCAAGUUGACAGAGUUUGGCAAGCUUUUAGAUAGCUGAACACAUGGAGGCUCCCAGAGGAUGGCAUGCCCAGUGAGGGCAUGGAAGCUUCACACCCCUUUCUUCAUACCUUACCAUACACAUCUCUUCAUCUAUAUUCUUUGUAAUAUCUUUUAUAAUAAACCAGUAAAUGUAAGUAACUAUUUCUCUGAGUUUUGUGAUCUGCUCUAGCAAAUUAAUUGAACCCAAGAUGGGGUCAUGGAAACUCUAACUUGAAGCCAGCUGGAGAGAAGUUUCAGAGGCCAGACUUGCUACUAGUGUCCAAAGUGGGGAGCAGUUUUGGGGACUGAGCCCUCAACCUGUGGCAUCUGAUGCUGUCUCCGGGUAGAUAGCCUCAGAAUUGAAUUAAAGGACAUCCAGCUGGUGCCUUCUGCAGAACUGAUUGCUUGCUUGUUGAUAGAGAGAAAACUUCCCCAACAUUUGAUCACAGAAGUCUUCUGUAUUGAUGAUUAUUGCAGUGUGAGAGCACAGGAAAAAUAAGCUUUUUCCAAACAAUAGUAUUUUUAAAAAGUAAUAGAGUAAGAAGCCAACCUGAAGGGUUCCCAACGGAACAUAGGAGCAAUAAAAUAAAUAACAUUGUAUUGGGUUAUGAUCUGUAAACCAAAAAAAAAAAAAAAAUGUCUGAAACAGGUUUCAACCAAUUUAGAGGUUUAUUUUGCCAAGUUUUGCUGAGGUUUAUUUUGCCAUGGUUGAAGAUGUACCCAGGAAAAAGAAACACAAGCCACUGUAGGAUCUGGGGCCUGCAAUUUUUCCAAAGAGGAUUUUAAGGACUUCAAUAUUUAAAGGGGAAAAAAUGGGCAAGAGGGGAAAGGAAGACAGAAAAGAAGGGGCAGCAUAUGGUCACAUUCUUAUGAGGCUUUGAUUGGUGUUCCCUGAAUCCACAUGUUGCAUGUGGAAAGGAGAGGCUGUAGGGGCAGUCAAUUAUGUAUUUUCCUCCUGUGCAGUAAAUCUGCACUUUACAUAAGAUAAAGUAAAUACGGAGUAGAGGUCAAACAUGCAUUUGUCUUGGGGUGGGCAGGAGGAUGAUUUCUAGCCCCUUCUUGUCCUAUAGCCAUGAAGAUAAGCUGUUAAUUUACAUUGUCAGGGUGAAGAAGUCCUCCUAGGAAAAUAUUUGGCCUUCUGUCUACAAUGAUCUGUUUAAGAACAAAAGGAAAGGCAGGUUUUUGUGUCACUCAGUUUCUAAGUUUAAUUUUUCCUUAUGGCAUAUUGAGUUUGAGGUCCCAAGAUUUUGUUUUCCUUUCACAGAUCCAAAGCAUGAAAUAAAUAUCCAAGAAUUCAUGAUGAUAUAAAUAAAUAUUUGGGCUGGGCACAG